rnacentral:rRNA from 1 species
GAUGAACGCUGGCGGCGUGCCUAAUACAUGCAAGUCGAGCGAACGGACGAGAAGCUUGCUUCUCUGAUGUUAGCGGCGGACGGGUGAGUAACACGUGGAUAACCUACCUAUAAGACUGGGAUAACUUCGGGAAACCGUAGCUAAUACCGGAUAAUAUUUUGAACCGCAUGGUUCAAAAGUGAAAGACGGUCUUGCUGUCACUUAUAGAUGGAUCCGCGCUGCAUUAGCUAGUUGGUAAGGUAACGGCUUACCAAGGCAACGAUGCAUAGCCGACCUGAGAGGGUGAUCGGCCACACUGGAACUGAGACACGGUCCAGACUCCUACGGGAGGCAGCAGUAGGGAAUCUUCCGCAAUGGGCGAAAGCCUGACGGAGCAACGCCGCGUGAGUGAUGAAGGUCUUCGGAUCGUAAAACUCUGUUAUUAGGGAAGAACAUAUGUGUAAGUAACUGUGCACAUCUUGACGGUACCUAAUCAGAAGGCCACGGCUAACUACGUG